UUUUUUUUUUUUUUCCUCGCACAUUGCAGAGUCUGAUAUACAGUAGACAUCAGUAAACAUUUGUUGAUUAAGUCAAUGAAUGAAUGAAUGAUUCCUAAGAGCAGAAAAAAGAAAUGAGAAAAUAAGCUUCUCUUCUUCUAAAGGAAAUAGGGAAACAGACACUAGAAUGUGAGAACUAUGCUCAGCUCUGUUUUGGCCUUGAAAGUAAGGUGGUUUGAAUUUAGUUGAAGACGUGUUCAGAUGCGGUAUAACCAAGAAGUGUGGUUUGGGCUGAGCUGAUCUCUCAGCUGGAAAAAGCAAACAAACAAAAAAACAGCAGUCAAGUUUGAACCAGAGACUAAUCUGUGGAUUUUCUUCUCCUCUAGUUCAAAGUCGUGGUCAUAGAUUUUGAGGCCUUAGAGGAACAUCACACACCACUUUCCUAUGACAAGAUUAACUCUCAAAUAAACAUUAAUUCCAAGGGCUCCUUUCAGACCUGGAAUUAGCCUUCCUGUCUUAAGUAUUUUGAAGCCUCAUCCCUUGGACCAAGCUGAAUCUCCCAGGAUGCAGUCCUGAUAUAUCAGAUGCUUUAUUGGGAACACAAGCAUUCAACACUCAGACUGAGCUUUAACAAACAGAUAACAGGAAGGCAUCAGGGGUUGUUUGGUUUGUUAGUUGAUGUUAAUGGAAAAUUCAUGUGGCAACUGUAUCAAUUACAAUAGCUGGCAUAGUUAGCAGUAGAAUAUCCAACUAAAACUCUUCAGCAAUAAAAGAAAUGUUAGCUAACAUCACUGAAAAAUCUAGUGAUAUAGUGAAACUUGAUUGAGGAGCUCAAGGAUAUCAGAAGGGAUUCCACUUUUUCAGUCUUCUUUGUCUUACACAGCGUUGGUUUCUGCGAAGAAACUGGUUAGCUAAUUACCAAAGUUUUUAGCUCUUUCUCCUGAUAAUGCAACUGCACUGUAUGACUUCCUAGCCUUCCUUACAGUUAGGUUUGGUCAUGUGCCUGAGUUCUGCUCAAGAAAAAGUGGGAAAAAUAUAAUAGCUUGUAGAGGAAAAAGCAUAGGCUACACAUGCAAGAAGUCAUGAACCAGUACUACAGAUGUCUUGACCUCACUUGCCUCAAACACAUACAGGUUCCAAAAUUUCAUGAACAGUAUGAAAUCUGUACAAUCCCUAAGAAAGGACCAUUCCCAGACUAACUUCAGCUGUCACCAUAAAAAGUCAUGGAGGAUAAUUAAUAGGGAAGUACCUCCCAGAGGGAGAAGUUUGGGUCUAUAGAAAACAAAAUACAAAAAAAUUCUUUGCAGAAAAAUUUCUUUGCAGAAUAUAAGUCUGAUUAUAUCAGGGGAUUGGGGAGAGGGGCCUCCAUUUGUUAGGGAAGUGGGGCCCCCUCGUGCCUGCCUGACAGAACAUUAUUGCUCUGGGCCACUGACUGCAGUACAGUGGCCACUCUUUUCUUUGUCUGAAUGGAAGUUUGAGUUUUAGCUGCCCCAUCCGGUGCUCCAAACUUUUGACUGAGUAUGCAUGGGAGCAAAUAACUUAUUUUUUGUUUGUUUGUUUCAUAUGCUGCAAGAUAAUUAGAGGUGAUAUUCAGACUCGAUGGAAAAGAGAGAGUAUUAUCCGAAGAUCAUAAAGACCUAGAUGCUGUCUUCCUUGAUACAGAGUAAGUGUUGACUAUUAUUUCCCACUAGGCCUGUCAGUCAGAUGUGGCCAUAUGAUCAAUGUCUGGCCAGAGAGAUGUUACAGACAUGAGCAACCCACUCUCAGACAUGACUCAUAAAAAUUACUUAUAUGUGGUCAUUCAUGCUCUUUCUCUUUCCAUGGCUUGAUGGAAAAGAAAACAAAGACCUUGCAAGCUUUGUGCUGAGAAUGGAAGACCCAUGAGUUGUAAGGAGAUGGGCACUUCCACUUCUAACUGGGAUGAUGUUAAGAGACUAGAUUUACCCUCCUUCCUGAAACAAUAAAUUGAAGGGGAAAAAAAACUGAAACAGUGGUUUUCAAGGCAUCGGUCAUAGACAUCAGGCAAUGAAGAACAGGGAUCAUUGAGAAACUGUGAACAAGACAGGCUCCUACAACCAUCGAGAGAGGGGUUCUGAGAUAUGAGUCAGGGAUUGAGACUUCAGGCAGGGCCCAAUACACUAUCUAAAUUAAAGAGUCAGAGAUGGGAGUCUGGGGGCGCCAAGGCAGCUAAAGUUCACAAGAUAAAGUACUGUGAAGGACAGAACUGCACAAAGAGGGAGAACUUGGGAGAUAUGCAGAGGGCACCCCUUGAAUGUUCAGCCAAGUACUGAUCAGCAAGUAGGAGGAAACUAUCUGGGCCUGGAAAAAAGAAUGUUCUAGAAGAAGCGGCACCUGAGGCUCACACAAGGCUGAAAUUAGUGUCUCCUCUCACCACCUAGGCUGGAAAACCUCAUAAUUCAUGGGGUAUUAGGUACACGUUUCAGAAGGGUCUUGUCUAAGCAGUGGACCUAAACUAGCCCUAAACUAAAUGUUCUUCCUAACAAAUAUUAAAAGUAAAUCCUGAAAGGAUAAACUGUUUCUAACUAACAUAAGAGUAUCCCAGAAUAAAACUCAACAGUGUUUACAAGAACACAAACCCAGCACUUGACAAAGUAAAAUCUACAAUGUCUGACAUCCAAUGAAAAACUGCCAGGCAUGCAAAGAAGCAGAAAAACACUAUUCGCAUGAAGAGAACAAUCAAUAAAUUGAAGAUCAACCCCAGAAUGCAGAUAAUAGAAUUAACAGAUAAAGGCAUUAAAAUGAUGAUUGUACUGAUUAUAUUCAGGAAGUUAUUAAAAAGACAAUAAAACCAGUUAUAAGAUAAAUAAUGUCUGGGGAUAUAGCAUAUAGCAUGAUGACUGUAGUUAACAAUAUUAUAUCAUAUAUUUGAAAAUUGCCGAGAGUAGAUCUUAAAAGCUACUAUCACAAGGAAAAACGAUGUGUAACUAUGUGAAGUGAUAGAUGUUAACUAAACUUCCUGUGGUAAGCAUUUCACAAUAUCAAAUCAUUAUGUUGUACAUCUUGAUCUGAUUUAAUGUGUAUGGGUGUUUUGGGGUUUUGUUUUGUUUUGUUUUGUUUUUUGUUUUUGUUUUUUUUGCUUUUUAGGGCUGCACCACGGCAUAUGGAAGUUCCAGGCUAGGGGCUGAGUCAGAGCUACAAUUGCCGACCUUCCACAGCCACAGCAAUGCUGGAUCACCACAAUGCUGGAUCGUUAACCCACUGAGGAAGGCCAGAGAUUGAACUCACAUCCCCAUAGACACUAGUCGAAUUGAUUUCUGCUGCACCACAAUGGGGAACUCCCUUAAUGUGUAUGUUAAUUAUAUCUCAAUAAAACUGGGAGGAAGGAUAAAAAGAUCUGAGCUUCUAGAGAUGAAAAGUACAAUUACUUAAAUGAAAACAAAAAACAAAAAACACUACAUGAUAUUAACAACCAACUUCAGGAGAAUAGAUUGGUGAAUUUGAGGCCAUAGCAAUAGAAACUAACUUAAAUAAAACACAUAAACAAAAAAGAAUUUCAAAAAAAAUUAAUGGGGAGUUCCUGCCAUGGCUCAGUGGUAACAAAACCAACUGGAUCCAUGAGGACCUGGAAUCCAUCCCUGGCCUCGCUCCCUGGUGGGUUGAGGAUUCUGUGUUGCCGGGAGCUGUGGUGUGGGUUGCAGACUCUGCUCAGGGAUAUGGAUAUUGUUAUAGCUCCGAUUCGACCCCUAGUGUGGGAACUUCCAUAUGCCACACAUGCAGCCCCCCCAAAAAAAAUAAUAAUAAUAAUUAAUUGGAAUGUAAGACAGAAAAUAGCUUUGGAAAACAGUUUUGACAGUUUUUCUUAAAACACCAAGCAUAUGAUUCAGCUACUCUAUUUAAUGAGGAAUGAAAGCAUAUGUCCAUCAAAGAUUUGUAGUGAAUGUACACAUAUGCUUAUAACAAUCCCAAAGCCCAUCAACCAUCAAGUAGAUACAACUGUGGUACAUAUCCCUAUAAAAUUAUAGAAAAUACCAAAAAAUGCAUAGCAACCAAAAUGUAAUAGUGGUUGUCUGAAGAGAGGAUGGGAGAAUGAGAAGGGCUUAGAGGGAAGAAUUACAAAGGCGCUCAAGGAAUCUUUUAGGGGUAAUGGAUAUGUUAAUUUUCUUGAUUGUGAUGAUAGCUUCACACGUGUACACAUAUUCAAAACUAAAUACAUGCAGUCAUAUACCUCCACAAAGCUGUUUUUAAAAAUGUAAGAAGACUAUAUCCCUGAAAGUAAGGAAAGCAGUAACAAAUUUAGACUUGACGUGAGUUAGGAACAAACUUGUAUUCUAUUUGAGCCAUUUCUCUGUGUGUGUUAUAUCCUAACUAAUACAGCUUCCUAUUGGGGCUGGUCCCAAAAUCUCAUGGUCCUAUGAUGGCAACCUUCCUUCAUUCACUAAGGUUACAUUGCUUUCUUUCUAUUCAUGUCCAAUGGGACAGAGUAUCUUUUUUUGGUAGCUUCCUUAAAAGAAAGAGAAUUUUAUUUCCCAAAGCCUCCAUUAAUCCUUAUUUUUAUUAGUCUAAAUUAAUUCAUGUUACAAUAUCUAAGUGUCAUGUUACAAUAUGACAGCCAAUGACAUCACAGACAAUUGUGUAUGUUGUGCUGAGCAUGGGCACUGAACCAAGGGGAAAAUGGGGGCUCAAAACAGGCAUGUGCCUGUUAACCAACCUGUGCAAUCUGGUGCCGGGCUGCAUCCACCUAAAGAAAGAGCUGCUUUUCUCUCAUUUGCACAAAGCUUCGAUGCAUCCUUGUGUAAAGCCUGAUCCUGGUGGUGCAGUGGAGAGACUCUAGUUGGAAAAAGGAAGAGAACUGAAUGCUGGCUGUUGACAAGGAAAAACAGAAAAUGACUACAACAACAACCUUGGUGAAUGAUGGCUGGUAUGGCUAUCAUCAUUUGUUAUAUUUCAAUAAACCUUUUCAGAUAUCCUAAAUGAAAGGAAUAUCACUUACCUUAAAUCCUAUACAAUUUUAUCUUAUAAAACUCUCUUGGAGUAAUUAUGACUUUCUUUAAUUAUAAUUAAUUGCAUGCAUGCAAUAAGUUGGGAUGCAGCACAAAGAGAGUCAAAGAUUAGAUGACUGUGUGUCAACACUCUUGCAGGACCAAAUGGAGACAGGGAAUUCUUUUGGCCCACAUGGGAAAAGCUGGUAUAAGGAGAAAAACCUCCAGCAAUCUCUAUAUUUUGAGUAGAAAGUAUGUAGGUGGCAUAUGCAACUAUGCCAUCUUUCCUUUUCUCAAGACAAGAAAUAAAGUGAUUUCUUCAUCAUGCAGUGUGUUAUAUCCAGCAAUGACCAAGAGAAAAAAAAAGGUCUCAAUGGAUAUAGUACCCUUGCAGUUUUCCUAGACACUUCCGAGAUGCAGCAGUGAAGUCUCAUUAAAUCUGGGAGCCCAAACACAGGAGAAAAGAGAUCAUCUAACGAACCAAAUUAAAAAUUCUGUGCCCUAGUUUGCUUUUGGAUUUAUCGUCAGUUUGGUGCUAUGACAGCUGAAAGUUGUCAUAGCAUCAUGUUAAUAGGUCAUGUUGAACUCACACUGAUCUGUGCCAGAACAGUCCGUUCAAGUUGCAAGCAAAUAUAUUGGGCAGGUCAUUUGUUCUACAUACCAGCUUAUAUGGGUUCAUUGGCAGUGUGUAUACCAGAAAAUAUGAAAUGAAGGAAUUUUUUUAAUGGGCCUUUAAAUUUCCCAGGAUUGUAUUUUAUACUGCAACUGUAAUUUAAUUGGCGCACUAAAAUGAUGUUUUGGUAGUUACAAAAAUGCUUCUAUUAAAAAUAAAAUUAAGGAGUUCCCGUCAUGGCUCAGUGGUCAACGAAUCCGACUAGGUACCAUGAGGUU
rnacentral:lncRNA from 1 species